UGAAAGCAAUGGUACAUCACAUUUCAAUACUAACAUUGAAUGUGAAUGGCCUAAAUGCUCCACUUAAAAGAUACAGAAAUACAGAAUGGAUAACAACUCACCAAUAACUCUCUGCUGCCUUCAGGAGACUCACCUAACAUGUAAGGACACACAUAAACUUAAAGUAAAGGGGUGGAAAAAGGCAUUUCAUGAAAAGAGAACAGGGGUAGCUAUUCUUAUCAGACAAAACAAAUUUUAAAGUGGGCAAAUUCAGGUUCUCCAGCACUGUAGUGGUAGUCACUGGCUCAAGUUAGAGGCCAACUGAGAAGUCUUCGUGCCUCAGAUUUGUUGACCUACAGAAUGCUUCGGUAUCUAUAUUUUUGUAGAAUGUAUAAAGAAUGUUUUUCAUGUUGGUUGGAAUCUGGCAUACGUAAUUUGGGUGUCUGGCCAAAAGGAAUACAUACUACAGCAGAAAAAUAUAAAGAAUGUGAAACCCAGGGGCAAAAAGAUCAAACUCAAGCCCAGCAGUUACACAGAUCUCGAGAUAUUUUGAAACUGUGGCUAAAUUACACAUUCUCGUAAUGCUGGAUGAAGCUGUUCAUUGUUUGUCACCACAAAAUGACAGAUUUUUCUAGAUAUGACAUUUGGUUCGGGAAGGUACACAAAAACCACUCUACAGCAGUUAGACAUUGUUCUGUAUGCCUUAGACAGGGACCCAACAGCUUAUGCAUUAGGUGAACAUCUUUCAGAGUUGUAUCCGAAACAAAUCUGAGUUAUGCUGGGCCAAUUCAGCCAGGCAGAAGCCUUAUUAAUGAAAGUUGGAGUGCAGCCAGGGACUUCAGAUGGAGUUCUUAUGGAUCCUGGGUGUUCCUCCAUGCAACCUGAUACUCACGAAAGAGUUUUUUCCCUUUGGAAAGAUGGCCCCUUGGACAUGAGGAUGGAUGGUGGCAGGUAACCUGAUGUGCCCCUGCAGUUAAUGUUGUGAAUGCUUUAAAUCAACAGGCACUUGCAUCUACCCUAAGAACAUGUGGGAAGGAGAAGCAUGCCAAGAAAAUUGCUUCAGCAAUUGUUCAGACAUGCAGCAUCUACCACAUCACCAGAACCCAGCAGCUUGCCAGCAUCGUCACAGGUGCAUUUCCUCCCUCUGCUAUUUAUGCACAAAAUGAUGUGCUACAGCGAUCGACGCAUAUUGCCACCAAGACUUUCCAGGCUCUUUGCAUAUUUUUGAACAAUGAGCUCAAUGAACUCUACACAGGACUAAAGAUGGCUUAGAAGUUUCUGAGACCUGGUGGUUGUCUUGUUGCCCUCUCUUUCCAUUCACUAGAGGAUCGCAUUGUCAAAAGGUUUUUGCCUGGAAUAAGCAUGACAGAAAGGUUUAACCUAAGUGUUAGACAGCAAAUGAUGAAAACAUUGCAAUUGGGUUCAGAUCAUGAAAACAUGGAAGAAGUCUCCAUGAGAAGAGCUCCUUUAAUGUGGGAAUUGAUAUACAAGAAGGUGCUUAGUCCACAAGAUCAGGAUGUACAAGAUAACCCUAGAGGGUGCUCAGCCAAGCUUAGAGCAGCUAUCAAAUUAUAAGUUACCAUCAUCUUAUCCUUCAAAUUUUUUUUCUCACAAUUUCUCUAAUCUUUACUCAUGUUAUAUUCCUGAAUGUCUUCGUGUAGGUUUAAGUGUGGGACAGUCUGAAAACUGACAGCAUUUAGCAUUUAUUUUUCCUUAAAAAGAAACUAUAGGAAAUACUAGCAUGACAGAGAAAGUUCCAUUCAGGGAGCAGCAGCAUCUCAAGACUAGAAAAAUGUGUUAAUUUUUGCAUCGUGUUGGACUCUUGAAACGCAGUUCUUCCUCUGGCCAGGACAUUUAAAAAAAUACUAUGUUGUGUUUAUCUAAAUACGUAAACUCAAACUGAAAGAGAAAAGAAAGAUAUUAUAAUCACACCUGCAUGUCCUAAAUUUUGAAUUUAGAUAUUCCAAUUCGCAACAGUCUUUCUCUGGCUCAAAUAAUGAUGAUUAUGGAAUGAAUUUUAAUGUCUCUACUUGUGAAUAAUUACUGUAGCUUUUGCAAAUAUAGGCUUUUUAUAAAUUUUAAAAUAUUAGUUUAAAUAUGUGUUAUAUUGAUAAAAUUUUAUUUUUCAAAUUAUAGUCCAUUAUUUUAAAGGUAUUUUUCAGUAUGAUAUGGGCCAUUUUCUUCAUAUAUCACAAAGUAAAAAUGUAAAAUCUUUACAGAGAUUUCACAAAACUUAUAUUUUGUGUCAAUUGUAUUUAUUUUAAUAAUAACUCACAAUGCCUUUAGUAAGUAAUAAAGUCUCUUAUUAGAAUUUUGUAGUUUUUAGUUGAGCUAAUCAAAAUAAUUCAGCCAAGUCUAUUUGAAAUAGAAAACUAUCUAUUUAACAUAGUAAAAUGAAUGCCCCCUUAAUGUUGUCACAAAGAUAUGGUAACUGUUAUAAGGGUAAAAGUUUAUUCAGGAAAAGAAUACUUGGUAGAAUAUUCUUUAACAAAUUGAUGAAAUUGAUCCAUAAUUCACAUAUCAACUUUUUAUAUGUAAUAUCUACUUUUAACUUAUUCAGUUAUUCAGCAAGUACUGAACUAUUUAUCAUUAGAAAAGCAAAACUAAGUACAAUAUACAUAACCCACAGUGCAUGUCCUAUAGAGUUUAGUAGAGGAAAAUUAUGUUAGUUAUAAUCACAAAAAUCAGUAUAAAAUGGACACAGUGGUAAAUACUACAAACAGGUCGUACAUGGUACAAUAAGAGCAUCUAGUAAGGAUUUAAUCUGUUGUCAGAAACCAGGUAUGAGAACAUGAUACUUUAACUGUGACCUGAAGGAUAAGUUGUAGAUAAUUAGUCAAAGGACACAUGGGGUAGGAAAGGGGGCAUAUUGAUUAAUGGUACAUAUAAAUGAAUAUUCUCUUAGUUAUUCUUGAAAUCAUAUUUAUACUAUUAAUUUGCUCAGUAAACUUUUUUCAAGCACAGAAAAAAGAUUCUCCAUUAUGGUUACAAAUUUUAAGUUGGUGAAUCCAAGUGAAUGAAAUAUCAGCAUAACUGUAUGGGCAAAAUAGAUAAGAAUUAAAUACAUGAAUUUAUCUCAGACGUAUUUGAUCUACCACUGUAAUAUUUAACGGUAGUACCCAGGGUCAUUUACUACUUCUGCUUUACAGGCUUUAUUUAAAUCUGAACAAUCCUACAGGGAUAUCAGAAUUUAAAAAGAAUCUGGAGAACAAUAUGUUUGAAAUAGAAACAAGAGAGUGUACCUAGGUUAAUUCCCUGAAUUUUACUUGAACAAUGUAUACAUUUCUAUUUGCAUGUAACACAUAUUUGUGAAUGAGAUAUAUUCCCAAAAAACUCUUAGUCCUGUAUGUGAUUGGAAAAUAAAAGAUAUUUGUAUAUUCAACAAUCAUUCACCUACUUCAUAAGUCCUUUUUUCAUCCUGUAUAGUAUAGAAAUUAUUUUUUAUGUUAAAUAGGAACUGAAUACACUGGGUUGACAGAAUGCAUGUACUACCUAGAGCCUUGGAAUGUGACAUUAUUUGAAAAUACUGUGGUGGUGGUUGUGUGGUUUUAAGUAGCUAAGAUGAGGUCGUACUGGAGCAGGGCAGGCCCUUAAUCCAACAUGACUGGUGUUCCUUAUAAGAGAAGAUAGGUGGCUGUGGUGGUUUAUGCCUGUAAUCCCAGCACUUUGGGAGGCCAAGCGAGGCAAAUUGCUUGAAGCCCAGGAGUUCAAGAUCAGUCUGGACAACAUGGUGAAAACCCAUCUCUACUAAAAAUACAGAAACUACCCAGGCAUGGUGGUACGUGCCUGUAAUCUCAGCUACCCAGGAGGC